rnacentral:rRNA from 1 species
GGGGCCAACGGGCGGACAUGCGGAUUAUUCGAUGCAACGCGAAGAACCUUACCAAGGCUUGACAUGGACCGGACCGCCGCAGAAAUGUGGUUUCCCCUUUGGGGCUGGUUUACAGGUGGUGCAUGGUUGUCGUCAGCUCGUGUCGUGAGAUGUUGGGUUAAGUCCCGCAACGAGCGCAACCCUCGUUCUAUGUUGCCAGCACGUGAUGGUGGGGACUCAUAGGAGACUGCCGGGGUCAACUCGGAGGAAGGUGGGGACGACGUCAAAUCAUCAUGCCCCUUAUGUCUUGGGCUUCACGCAUGCUACAAUGGCCGGUACAAAGGGUUGCGAUACUGUGAGGUGGAGCUAAUCCCAAAAAGCCGGUCUCAGUUCGGAUUGGGGUCUGCAACUCGACCCCAUGAAGUCGGAGUCGCUAGUAAUCGCAGAUCAGCAACGCUGCGGUGAAUACGUUCCCGGGCCUUGUACAACCCGCCCGUA